CUGUUCUUCAAUUGGACUAGACGUGUAUUUUUUACUUCGGUUAAAAACAACAGAAAUUUAUAAAUAAUAAUGAUUACUCCACAAACUAUGGAUCUGUAUAUAACAAACAUUAAUGUCGAAAAUGGAUGACAUCCGGAGCAGUAUGAAUGAAAACAUUCUUUGAAAUGAAGGUUUAAUUAACUAAAGGCUAUCGUUUUGUUACGAUACUGCUGAAUGGCGGAAUCAAAGACCGCUAUGAAAGAUGGAUUUUUGAAAUAACCUCACUUUUGGUUAAAAGUCACCAACGAUGUUCUAUACCAUAGAUAUUUCGUCAUAACUCACAUGAAAGGGCCGUGAGAAUUUAUUGGCAAAUAAAGUUAUACUAAUAAAAUAUAUGUAUAAAAUAUUUAAUGUAAAAUAAAAUACAAAUUCAGCUUGGCCGAUGGUCGGCUAAGAAAACAAA